GUGCCAGCCGCCGCGGUAAUACGGAGGAUCCAAGCGUUAUCCGGAAUCAUUGGGUUUAAAGGGUCCGUAGGCGGCCUUAUAAGUCAGUGGUGAAAUCCCAUCGCUCAACGAUGGAACUGCCAUUGAUACUGUAGGGCUUGAAUUAUUGUGAAGUAACUAGAAUAUGUAGUGUAGCGGUGAAAUGCUUAGAUAUUACAUGGAAUACCAAUUGCGAAGGCAGGUUACUAACAAUAUAUUGACGCUGAUGGACGAAAGCGUGGGGAGCGAACAGGAUUAGAAACCCCAGUAGUCC
rnacentral:rRNA from 1 species